ACUAGUGAUUUAAAAAGUUUUUCUAGUAAUGUAUUUAUAAUACUGUUAUAAUGAGGUAUUCAGGGUUUGGAGUAAUACAAUGUCCCCAUGGUAUAGGUAGACCUGGUGUGCCAUGGAAAAACUGAAGUGUUUCCAGACAGAGAUGGAUCAGACCCAUAUGCUGUACCCAGGAAAAUGGGAAUAUUGCGAACAGUGGAUAGUGGAAACAGUCUUACCACUGAUGUCAUUGUGCAGAGGAUCAUCAAAAACAGGCUGCUGUUUGAGGCCAGAAACCAGAAAAAAGAGGCCAAAGAGAUGGCGGUAAUCCAGGCCAUGAAGCGACGAGAAGAAGACAAGGCUAAAGAGAGAGCGCAGGCUGUGCUGUAGGGAAGAAAAAAAGUUCAUCAGAGACUAACAAAACCCAGUACAUGCAGUUGACUUUUUUCUAAUGUGUCCAGAUUUUGGACUUACAUACCGUCAGAAUACCAGCAGCUGAGAGCUCCUUUUAUUGACGAAUUAGCAUGUGUUGUCUUGGGAGCAUCUGCUUUUGUGAACCACUCUCGCACUCUCCACCUGAAGGACCAAUUCAACAUUUCUUGAAGGCAGUGGGCCAUUUCCAUCAGAUCUGUUUACUAAGUAAAGAAGUAGGCUGGAACUUGUCCUGCACUUUGCUGUGUGCAGGAUGUUGCCACUCUGGUGACCAACAUGACCUACGUGGCCUUUACCUCCACAUGUAACUCCAGAGUUAUUCUAACCUUUGCUUGGAAAUCAACACUCCUGAAGAUCUGAAUUCAUCAGAAGAGCACUACAGUCUGCUGUCCUAAAACACUGUAUUAAUUAUAAAGAUUUAAUAUUUAUCUGUCAUUAUUAAUGGCUAAUCCUCAUAUGAAGUAUUUUUCAUUGUAAUAUACAACAAAGUGAAUCGUUCUAUUAAAAAUAUAUGAAAAUAAUAGUUAAGAUAUGGUGUUCAUCAAACUUGCAUUUUAAUAUGUUUUUUUUUAUGUUUAUGUUUUUGUUUAUUAUAGUUUUUGAACUUAACCAUUAUAACUAGUCAAAAGGAUAUACUAUAUUUCAGGAAGUUUUUGUUAAAAGUUCCCAAGGGUAUAGUUCACAAAAAAAUAAAUAAAUAAAUAUUCACUCAUGGUAUUCCACUCAAAAGUACCAUAAAAGUUGAUAUGUCUUGUACUUUAUUUUCCCAAACUUCUUCUGUUAAACAAGAAUUUUGUGUGAGAAAACAGCAUGAAAUGUUAGUCUUAUUUACUGCUAACUUUUACUGCCACAGUUCUCAAAAUGUAUUGUGGAAAAAUUAAUUUAAACUUGCUAACCUGUUGUCAGGAUCAGCAGGUGAAAAUGUCACGUUCAUUAUUCACUUUUGUUUUGGGGAAAAUAUCACUUCACCCUGUCUGCCUAACAUAUCCUGUAAUUCACAGAAGAAUUUGAAUAUUGAUUUAAAAGUACAUGCUAAUUUUGUUUUGUGGUGAAAUACUUCCUUUAGGGUUUAAAGAGGUUUAAAGUUUCUGUUUUAAAUGUAUUAAAAAUUAAAUUAUACUACAUCUAGUUCUUAGAGUGAACAUGCUGAUCAAGAGUUAGUUCCUUGUUUUCUAUUUUAUUUAGAAUGAUUUUGGAAGGCAAUUUGAGAUCAGCAUGUUAAGCUGAGCCACGUUAUACACGAAGACAGACAUACACUCCUUUACAAGUCUGCAUACAGUUUUGAGUUUGUUUCUUAUGAAGGUGUGUACACCAUACCCAAAAUUACUUGUGCAGAAUGAGUAACCAAUUAUAGCCACAAUAGGUCUUCCUAUCAGUGGAAAUAUGUGUAAAAUUCAUAGAAACCACAAUGGACUGAAACCAACUCAACCUGUUUUGAUGUGCUGUGAUAUAUAAAGUGUAUAAACCUCAAUCAUGGAACCAACUACUGUCUAAAUAUAAUGGUUUCAGGGAUUAUAUUAUUUUAAGUCAACACUGAACUGACUUACAUUGUUUUGUUUUCAUGUACAAUUUUUAAUUAUAUUAAAAUAUAAAAGUUUUUUUUUUUUUUUUUUUUUAAAUAAUAACCCACUGUUUUUGUUAACAUAUUAGUCAACUUGAAAUAUACUGGAACUUAAUUUUUAAUUGAACAAUUAUUAAAGUUACUUUCUGAUUUUGGGAAAUCAAAUGAAAAGUUUAUUUUAUUUAUUUGUUUAUUUUUAUUUCUGAUAACAAAACAGGAAUUGAUAACACGGGAUCAUAAUAAUUGAUAUCAGCUAAUCUCCUUGUUUAGUUUUAUGGGAUUUAAAAAAAUGCAUAUAAAUAAAUAUCCAAAUAUGUAAUAGAUCACAUCUGCCUAAAUAAAUAUUUAACUGUU